AAUUUGAUGGAGAAAAGAAAUUACAAUAAGAACUCCUCAACGAGAAGCAGAAUCUCACAAAGCCUACCUCAUAGGAGCAGUCCAAGAGUAAACGCACUACGGAUGAAACCAUCACAAAGUCACCAAAAAGGAAAAGCCUUGACUACUCACAAUAGAACUAAUACCCAGAAGUUCCUCCUCUCUAAGUAAGUAAAUUUCAGUCUCAAAAGAGAAUAACCCUUCAGAGAGGUUAUACUAGCAGAUUACACCUGACUCAUCCUGGCUGAAAGAACUGCUUUCCCAUUUCCCUUUAAGGCACAAAGGAGGCAAAGGAAAGAUACAACACCGUGGCAGCCACCAGACUCCUAUGCUACUACUGUGCCACACAAUCUAGUUCUCUGGUGAAAGUGGAAAAUUCAAUGAGUAGGAAGUAGCCAGUGUUUGGUCUUGGAAGCAGUCCAGGCUGGUGGCACCAAUGACAAGAUUAAGAGGCCCCAAGCACAGCUUCAAUCAACGACAAGAAAGGGCCUGGAGCCCCCUCCCGGGUGUCUCCGCGCCCCACCUUCGCCCGAGACUCGACUGAGGAGCCCCGCAGAGUCCGGCGCUGGGGUGAGAGUUGGCAAGGUGUCGCGCCCCCCCACACCGGGGUCAACUCACAUGUCUCCGACAGAAGG